CCAGACUCCUACGGGAGGCAGCAGUAGGGAAUCUUUCACAAUGGGCGAAAGCCUGAUGGAGCAACGCCGCGUGCAGGAUGAAGGCCUUCGGGUUGUAAACUGCUUUUAUAAGCGAGAAAUAUGAUGGUAACUUAUGAAUAAGGAUCGGCUAACUACGUGCCAGCAGCCGCGGUCAUACGUAGGAUCCGAGCAUUAUCCGGAGUGACUGGGUGUAAAGAGUUGCGUAGGUGGCAUGGCAAGUCAGAUGUGAAAGCCCGGGGCUCAACCCCGGGACUGCAUUUGAAACUGUCAGGCUGGAGUGCAGGAGAGGUAAGUGGAAUUCCUAGUGUAGCGGUGAAAUGCGUAGAUAUUAGGAGGAACACCAGUGGCGAAGGCGGCUUACUGGACUGUAACUGACGUUGAGGCCCGAAAGCGUGGGGAGCAAACAGGAUUAGAUACCCGGGUA
rnacentral:rRNA from 1 species